rnacentral:tRNA from 1 species
CGCGGGGAGGCUGUUGGUUGCCCGGCCAGUCCCAUAAGCUGGCCUUCGUGGGUUCGAUUCCCACCCCCGCUACCA